rnacentral:hammerhead_ribozyme from 1 species
GCACUGGUGAGGAGUCCCACAAUAGGACGAAACGGCUGUCCAGUAC